GCCAAGCUCUGGGUAUACAAAAGCAAUGAAGACACAUUCACCAAUCUCAAAGAGCGCACAGUCUAGAGAUGAACACAGCACAUAAAUGGUUCUCUUCCUCUUCUCUCAUAUUUUAUGAUAUAAUCGGAUCAUUGACCAUAACAGCACUCUUCCUGCCCAGGCACAAAACACUAACUACCCUAUGAAAGGGGCCAUAACUAUAUUCUGUGACUCAAGGCAUUUCCCAGCCUGCAGUUCCUAUACCCCUUCUCAG
rnacentral:lncRNA from 1 species